rnacentral:pre_miRNA from 1 species
UAAAUUACGGAUUUUGAUUAGGUAGGCAUAGUCUGUUGGUUACUUCUAUGAAAUUGAAUUUGAUCAAUAAAUCACCCUUGACCAUGGACGCGACCCUACCUUUUAUUGAAUGAAAUAUUUCG